GUGAAAUCGAUAUAAUGGAAGCGAAUGAAGUCGACGUAUCUAGUGCGUAUUCAGUUGUUGCGGAGGCUCGAGUGUCGGUUGUGCGAAUUCCGCGAGGUUUCGCCGGCGGCGCGUUCGGCUUUCGGGGCGAUGCAUUUACGCGCAGAGUGCGGUGAGUCGGCUGGUGUUGUCGGUGGGAUGCUGUUCGCUCAAGAGGGCGCGCUCCUCACGGAGUGUGUAUCCUUGGCGUUGCGGAUGCCGAUUAACGCCGGCUGGAGAGUUGCCGGAAAGCAUUGGCCUUCACGAGCGUGCGUUCCAGCGGUUGUUGUUUCUCGUGAGGGGCGCAUGCGCACUUCGCUUGAGGCGGCGGCGGUUGGGCGUUCGCUCACUUUGCUUUUCUCGCCGUAUAGUCGGUCACUCAUUCGACCCGUCUUGAAACACGGACCAAGGAGUUUAUGGUACACGCGAGUCAUUGAGUCUGCAGAAACUCAAAGGCGUAAUGAAAGUGAGGACUGUGUUCCCAACAGUUGAUUGAUACGAGCGUUGUGCGGUCCGCGGAGCGCCGGCGCGCAGUAUCUCCCCAUUCUUGGAGCUUGCUCUGGUGUGGAGGAAUAGCGUGUGCAAUGAGACCCGAAAGAUGGUGAACUAUGCCUGAACAGGAUGAAGCCAGAGGAAACUCUGGUGGAAGUCCGAAGCGGUUCUGACGUGCAAAUCGAUCGUCUGAUUUUGGUAUAGGGGCGAAAGACUAAUCGAACCAUCU
rnacentral:rRNA from 1 species